CUGAUGCAGCGACGCCGCGUGGGGGAUGACGGUCUUCGGAUUGUAAACCCCUUUCAGUAGGGACGAAGCGCAAGUGACGGUACCUGCAGAAGAAGCACCGGCUAACUACGUGCCAGCAGCCGCGGUAAUACGUAGGGUGCGAGCGUUGUCCGGAAUUACUGGGCGUAAAGAGCUCGUAGGCGGUUUGUCACGUCGUCUGUGAAAUCCCUCGGCUUAACCGGGGGCGUGCAGGCGAUACGGGCAGACUUGAGUACUACAGGGGAGACUGGAAUUCCUGGUGUAGCGGUGAAAUGCGCAGAUAUCAGGAGGAACACCGGUGGCGAAGGCGGGUCUCUGGGUAGUAACUGACGCUGAGGAGCGAAAGCAUGGGUAGCGAACAGGAUUAGAUACCCUGGUAGUCCAUGCCGUAAACGGUGGGCGCUAGGUGUGGGGUCCUUCCACGGACUCCGUGCCGUAGCUAACGCAUUAAGCGCCCCGCCUG
rnacentral:rRNA from 1 species